rnacentral:rRNA from 1 species
UACGAAGGGGGCUAGCGUUGCUCGGAAUCACUGGGCGUAAAGCGCACGUAGGCGGCUUUCUAAGUCGGUGGUGAAAUCCUGGAGCUCAACUCCAGAACUGCCUCCGAUACUGGAAGGCUCGAGUCCGGGAGAGGUGAGUGGAACUGCGAGUGUAGAGGUGAAAUUCGUAGAUAUUCGCAAGAACACCAGUGGCGAAGGCGGCUCACUGGCCCGGUACUGACGCUGAGGUGCGGAAGCGUGGGGAGCAAACAGGG